AUUAUGUUUUUUAAGUUAGUAUUUUAAAAUUUACUGGUCAACAAAUAUUUUUUUUUUUUAAAUGUGUGAAUGUAUAAUUAAAUAUGUAUUAAGAUUUAUGAGAAUUAUAUAGUAUUUGAUUUAUUAAGAUAUUUAUAUAAAUUUUUUCCAAGCAUAUAUAUAUGUGUCACAUUCAGCAUCCACUUAGCUUACUAAUUCAAGAAGGCACAUGGCACAGUUUGGUGGGUAUACUGUGUGUGUGUGUGUGUGUGUGUGUGUGAGACCUCCUGUGCAUGCGUUUUUUUUGUUGUUUUUUUUCAUACAUGUAAAAGGCUUGCAUUUUUGAGUGAUUGAUUAGAUGAGUGAGUAAUGUGUGUGUGAGUGUGUGUUUAACAGUUAACGCGGCAGGGAGUGGACAGAAGGGCCAAGUGUGACAGGUGGACAGGCAUGAUAAGGAGAGAGCGGUGCAGCCCAGCGCUCAGCAGAAGCAGACCCCAGGAGAAUAUCCAGCCAAAAGCAGCUAAUAGCUGAUACUCAUCAGAGAUAGAGCCACUGAAGAUUUCCUUUCUCUGUGGAAUAGUCCGUUCAUUCAGCUCCAGCCCAAAUUCUCCUCCCUAAAAAUGUGAAAAGAUGUUGUUAAUCAAGUUUUAUACAACAGAACAGUUAAUGUUGGGACUGAAGGACUGUGCCAUGAUACGACGUAUAUCAAGGCUUUCUGCUUUACAGAUUUCACAUCAGUGUCUCAAUGCAAACUCAGCAAUGUUGUAACUCCAAGAAGAAGGGACACGAGCAACCCACUAAAUGUGUGUUUACACUGCUGAGCCCACACUUAUAAUUUUGUGAAUUCAAGCGGCAGCCCUAUGUGAGACCAUUUCAUGAAACUAAGAAAUUUUCAGAGGAGGACGUGCGAUGCCAAAAUAAGAACGAGAUGUUGGAAGGCACCGAAGAGGAAAAAUGAUCGGUUUGUCCUCUCGUUGGGAGCGGUCCAAAUCUGGAGCUUCAUCUGAAAAGUUUGUUUUUGCAGUUGGUCAUUGCUUAUAAAGCCCUUAAAACUUUACAAACGCACAUAUAACGUCAGCUCACGGUGGCAAGUCGACAUGUGACUUUCAAAAACAGCUGUUUAGCAUUCUAAAAUACAUCACUGUGCCCCACGAAAGGGUCAAUUACAAAUGGUCAGAUCUCAGGAGACGAAGCUUCGCUCUAAAUGCUUCCUGCAGAAAUCAAGAUCUACGAUACGUGUCGGCCAUUAUGUGAGACGUACGAGGUAAAAUUGCUAAUGUAAAAUUGGUAAUGUGAUUAGAACGGUCCCUGGCAGGCGAGACCGGGGCAGUGGUAAACAAGCCACCGCUCCUUAUGUGUAAGUGAAGAUGGUGGAGGAGACACAGACUCGACAUGAAUAACCUCAACCCGGCCUGUUUGCCCCGGAGCUAGAGGUCAGGACCUGUUUGGAAACAGUGUGUUAUGGCGUUUGGACAUACUUGUGCGGGUGCCGGACCAGUCUUCUGCAUUUUCUGCCCUUUAGCUUCUUACAUGCCAGUUAAAGUCACCGAGGACAGCAGCCGACAUCUCUUUUAGUGCCAAGACAGAGGAUCCGUUUGUUGACAGAGCCGUCCAUACAUACGCCAGAUUGGGAUCUGUGGCCUUAGUAAAGCCAAGGGUCUUACCCCCAUCAGACUCGCAGCGGUGACCCUCGUUUUAGUGUUCAUGCCCAGGCAGGUGUGCCCAUGAUUGUGGGGUGCAUGAACUGGCAUCCGUCAGGGCAUCCGUUCCCUUAGCGUGAAUGUAAAAGAGCCUACAGCCUGUGGGUGAGGCCCUUGUCUGUUUACCUGCCAACGGAGGGCAGAGAGGGGGCUAUAAGCACAGAAGGCCUCCUUUGUCCCGGUGUUCCUGGUGGCCCCCAGGGUCAAGGUCCCUCGUUUAGCUUUCUAAAAGGACUAUGGGUGUGUUUUCAUACUUGUUUUAUAUUAUUUAUACAGCCUGUUGUUAAAUUUCGCAUUUGAUUGCACUGAUACCAGUGUUUGGAGAUCGUCAGGAAUGAUUCUUGUGUACAGCCAGCUCUCAUUAAUUGUUGGUUCUCUUUUCUGUCCCUGCUUCAGGGAAGAAACAGCACUGAGUCAGAAUUUAAAAAGUGUGUUGCUGGAUUGACUCUUUUCUUUUUUUUUUGCACAUUCUAACAUUUUCAUGUUUGCCAUUCAUUAUUUACAAGCCAAGCAUCUUUUCUGGAAAGCUAUGUUUGAGUCUCCUUAGAGUACAAAUAUUUUCAGAAUUUGGCAUUAAAUUUGAGUGAAAAAUGUCUUGAAAUAGCUUGCAUUGGGGGCCUUAAUUACAAUACGAAAAAUAUUAAGGAUAGAAUUAAAUAUGUGACAUUUUUGUCUGUCAAUUUGUGAUCAAAAUGUGAGAUAUUAUAAAAUUUUGCUCAGUUUGACUUGCACAAUGUUGGCUAUGUUGUAUGUAUCAGGUUAGGUAACUGUUCUGUGUAGCCAGCAAUGUUCGUUUGUAUGUGUGUAUGUGAAUACCCACACUACCAUUUGAAAUCAGUAAGAUUUGUAUUUAUUUAUUUAUUUAUUGUAAGUAAUUGAAUUAGUUAGGACGAAUUGAAUUGAUCAAAAGUGACAGUAAAGAUAUUUAUAAUGUUACAUAAAAUUUAUCAUUGUAGCCUAAAUGCCUAAAUGCUAAAUUUCUAUUCAUUGAUGAAUCCUGAAGAAGCACAAC
ensembl:lncRNA